rnacentral:misc_RNA from 1 species
UAAUAAGUGUUUUAUGGCACUUUUUAAAUCCAUAUCCACCUUGUGUGCAAUGUCAGUCGAUCCUCUUCAUGGAGAUCGACCAAACAUCAACCUUUAUCUUUUAACUCUUUGUCUGAAAAAUAUUAUGAAUAAAUAAUUCAAAAUA